rnacentral:rRNA from 1 species
UAAAAGUCUAAUCAAACCUGGAGAUAGCUCGUUCUCUCCGAAAUAGCUUUAGGGCUAGCCUUGAGUUAACUACGUAAUGGGGGUAGAGCACUGAUUUGGACUGGGGGGCUUCCCGCCUACCCACCCUAGUUAAACUCCGAAUACCAUUGCGACUAUCUCAGGAGUCAGUCCACGAGGGAGAAGCUUCGUGGUCGAGAGGGAAACAACCCAGAUCGCCUGCUAAGGUCCCAAAGUCUUGCUAAGUCACUAAGGAUGUUAGGAUACUGUGACAGCCAGGAUGUUGGCUUAGAAGCAGCCAUCAUUUAAAAAGUGCGUAAUAGCUUACUGGUCGAGUGUUCUAGUACCGAUAAUGAACGGGAGUAAGUAAGACACCGAAGCAGCGGAUUCAGCUUAUGCUGAGUGGUAGGAGAGCGUUCCAGUACAGAUACUAGCCAUACCGAAAGGAGUGGUGUUGGGUACUGGAAGUGAUUAUGCCGGAAUGAGUAACGAUAAA